rnacentral:rRNA from 1 species
CCUACGGGAGGCAGCAGUGGGGAAUAUUGCACAAUGGGCGCAAGCCUCAUGCAGCCAUGCCGCGUGUGUGAAGAAGGCCUUCGGGUUGUAAAGCACUUUCAGCGGGGAGGAAGGCGUUAAGGUUAAUAACCUUGGCGAUUGACGUUACCCGCAGAAGAAGCACCGGCUAACUCCGUGCCAGCAGCCGCGGUAAUACGGAGGGUGCAAGCGUUAAUCGGAAUUACUGGGCGUAAAGCGCACGCAGGCGGUCUGUCAAGUCGGAUGUGAAAUCCCCGGGCUCAACCUGGGAACUGCAUUCGAAACUGGCAGGCUAGAGUCUUGUAGAGGGGGGUAGAAUUCCAGGUGUAGCGGUGAAAUGCGUAGAGAUCUGGAGGAAUACCGGUGGCGAAGGCGGCCCCCUGGACAAAGACUGACGCUCAGGUGCGAAAGCGUGGGGAGCAAACAGGAUUAGAUACCCUAGUAGUC